rnacentral:rRNA from 1 species
CCUAGCCUUAAACAUUGACAACCCCCUACAUCUGUUGUCCGCCAGGAAACUACGAGCAUUAGCUUAAAACCCAAAGGACUUGGCGGUGCUUUAGAUCCACCUAGAGGAGCCUGUUCUAGAACCGAUAACCCCCGUUCAACCUCACCCCUCCUUGUUUAUCCCGCCUAUAUACCACCGUCGUCAGCUUACCCUGUGAAGGCCUCAUAGUAAGCAGAAUUGGCACAGCCCAGAACGUCAGGUCGAGGUGUAGCGAAUGGAGGGGGAAGAAAUGGGCUACAUUCUUUAAUAGAAAGUACACGAAUGACUGACUGAAACGUCUUUCCGAAGGAGGAUUUAGCAGUAAGCAAGAAGUAGAGUGUCCUGCUGAAUUUGGCCCUGAAGCGCGCAC